rnacentral:rRNA from 1 species
GACGAACGCUGGCGUCGUGCUUAACACAUGCAAGUCGAACGGAAAGGCCCUGCUUUUGUGGGGUGCUCGAGUGGCGAACGGGUGAGUAACACGUGAGUAACCUGCCCUUGACUUUGGGAUAACUUCAGGAAACUGGGGCUAAUACCGGAUAGGAGCUCCUGCUGCAUGGUGGGGGUUGGAAAGUUUCGGCGGUUGGGGAUGGACUCGCGGCUUAUCAGCUUGUUGGUGGGGUAGUGGCUUACCAAGGCUUUGACGGGUAGCCGGCCUGAGAGGGUGACCGGCCACAUUGGGACUGAGAUACGGCCCAGACUCCUACGGGAGGCAGCAGUGGGGAAUAUUGCACAAUGGGCGGAAGCCUGAUGCAGCAACGCCGCGUGCGGGAUGACGGCCUUCGGGUUGUAAACCGCUUUCGCCUGUGACGAAGCGUGAGUGACGGUAAUGGGUAAAGAAGCACCGGCUAACUAUGUG